rnacentral:rRNA from 1 species
CAGUAGCCACGGUAAUACAGAGGGUGCGAGCGUUAAUCGGAUUUACUGGGCGUAAAGCGUGCGUAGGCGGCUUUUUAAGUCGGAUGUGAAAUCCCUGAGCUUAACUUAGGAAUUGCAUUCGAUACUGGGAAGCUAGAGUAUGGGAGAGGAUGGUAGAAUUCCAGGUGUAGCGGUGAAAUGCGUAGAGAUCUGGAGGAAUACCGAUGGCGAAGGCAGCCAUCUGGCCUAAUACUGACGCUGAGGUACGAAAGCAUGGGGAGCAAACAGGAUUAGAUACCCCCGUAGUCCCUGUCUCUUAUAU